AAAAUUCAACGUUUUUGCUGUUUUUUUGGCAACAAGGGGACUACAUUUUUCUCAUGUUCCAAAUCUGCACACAACUCGAAUCUAGGUUCCGUUGUCGAGAGUAAGGAACUACCUGGUUUCUCUUUCCCCAUUUUUACAUACUGAAUCAAAGUGAUAGACUGCACGACCACGAUUACAGAACUUCAAAAGUAUCUUAAGUGGUCGGACAGGAGCCCCGUCGAUUGGUCGGGACGAGCAAAAGUGGGCUGCAAAAUAGACUAGCAAAAGUGGGCUGCAAAAAAUAGAGCCAAACUACACGAAGAGGUGCAUUGCACUACAUCAACAACAACCAAAAUUCUGGAAUGGUUGCUACGCCUAUCGUUGAUGCGUACUGCACGACACCCGCCGCUGAUUCACGGGCGCCCAACAACAGUGCACUCGCGGGCAUGUGGGAGGAGGCCGGCGGACUGCACCGCCUAUCUUUUUCUGCAAAAAGAGAGUAAAAUGAACCUCAAGCGCAAAAGAAUAGUGGACUGCAUUUGCACAUUUAUUUAUCUUUAGAAGAACAGAGAAAACGCACGGAUGAGGGGCAACUGCUCUGCAACGCGUGAAACAGCAUUGCACG
rnacentral:lncRNA from 1 species